GGGCCCGCACAAGCAGCGGAGCAUGUGGUUUAAUUCGAAGCAACGCGAAGAACCUUACCUAGACUUGACAUCUCCUGAAUUACUCGUAAUAGAGGAAGCCCUUCGGGGCAGGAAGACAGGUGGUGCAUGGUUGUCGUCAGCUCGUGUCGUGAGAUGUUGGGUUAAGUCCCGCAACGAGCGCAACCCUUAUCAUUAGUUGCUACCAUUAAGUUGAGCACUCUAGUGAGACUGCCCGGGUUAACCGGGAGGAAGGUGGGGAUGACGUCAAAUCAUCAUGCCCCUUAUGUCUAGGGCUACACACGUGCUACAAUGGUAGGUACAACAAGACGCAAGACCGUGAGGUGGAGCAAAACUGUAAAACCUAUCCCAGUUCGGAUUGAAGGCUGAAACUCGCCUUCAUGAAGCCGGAGUUGCUAGUAAUCGCGAAUCAGCAUGUCGCGGUGAAUACGUUCCCGGGCCUU
rnacentral:rRNA from 1 species